CACAGGUGCUGCAUGGCUGUCGUCAGCUCGUGCCGUGAGGUGUAUGGUUAAGUCCUGCAACGAGCGCAACCCUCGUCGCUAGUUGAUUUCUCUAGCGAGACUGCCCGCAAACGGGAGGAAGGUGGGGAUGACGUCAAGUCAGCAUGGCCUUUAUAUCUUGGGCUACACACACGCUACAAUGGAUGGCACAAUAGGUUGCAACAGCGCGAGCUGAAGCUAAUCCCCAAAGCCAUCCUCAGUACAGAUUGCAGGCUGAAACCCGCCUGCAUGAAGUCGGAGUUGCUAGUAACCGCAAAUCAGCAUGUUGCGGUGAAUACGUUCUCGGGCCUU
rnacentral:rRNA from 1 species